rnacentral:lncRNA from 1 species
UUAUUUCAUAGACAAAGCACGCCAAAUGAUGUCCAGAUCAUUAUCAAUCCACAUGAGAGUUUUAAAAUGUAUGUGUGAAUCCGGUAUUCACCGCUUUGGAGCCUUGCCGCCUAACAAAAUAAAAUUUCAGCGUGUCAUGUUUCUGGAGAGCCACACGCACAAUAUAUAUGCAGAUGAACAGUUAUAGUUCGUAUACCUGGGUUGGCUGGCUUUCCAUUUUUGCUGUUAAGCGUUGGCGGUGGGGCAGUACUUGGCGCUUUAGCUUUAGAUGCUGCACAGAAAUGUGAAAUCACAGGGGAUCAAUAAACUUUAGAGAAUCCGUCGAUUAUUUGGUCAUGUAAAACUUGUACAACUAAAGAAAAGGUGAAGCUUUGGGAGACAGGGAAAGAAAGUUAGUUCAAAAAGGUGCCCGACGUCGACGAUGGUCAUGCAAGUUCGAAUGCUCGAGUACUAACCAGUAGAAGAUGCCUCUUGCUGCACAGGCACAUGUUUCCCUGCACGGCAAUAUCAGUCAAUCAGUCGACGAUGGUGCAUCUAGACCUAAUUAAUCAUGCAUGCAUGUGAUUAAGAUGUUAGAAGGCUGGCAGCUGGCUAGGCUUUUCAAUGUAAAAUAAGGCCAAAUUUGAAGAGGCUAGCUAUGAUGAUAAUAUCCACCAGGAUGAAUACUACCUUUCUUCGCGGCCCCAGAAUUUAUCAGUCCAGGCAGAUCUUUCGUAUGCAUCGCUGCAUGGCAAAUAAAAUGACUUGGUUAAUGAAUGGGACUAUGAUAACUGGAGGUUAAUCAGCUCACCUCUCGCCUGUGAAGCCAUGUUGUUUGGAGUUGGAGAGGCCUUGAUUCGU